GCUGGGCAUGGUGGCACACGCCUGUAAUCCCAGCAACUCUGGAGGCCGAGGCAGGAGGAUCAUGAGUUUAAAGCCGGCUUCAGCAACUUAGCAAGGCCCUAAGCAACUUUGCAAGACCCUGUCUCUA
rnacentral:sRNA from 1 species